rnacentral:rRNA from 1 species
UACAGAGGGUGCAAGCGUUGUUCGGAAUUACUGGGCGUAAAGGGCGCGUAGGCGGCCUGCUAAGUCGAACGUGAAAUCCCCGGGCUCAACCCGGGAACUGCGUCCGAUACUGGCAGGCUUGAAUCCGGGAGAGGGAUGCGGAAUUCCAGGUGUAGCGGUGAAAUGCGUAGAUAUCUGGAGGAACACCGGUGGCGAAGGCGGCAUCCUGGACCGGCAUUGACGCUGAGGCGCGAAAGCCAGGGGAGCAAAGCGGG